rnacentral:snoRNA from 1 species
UGCCUCCUUGAUCGUCCCUCAGAGUCAGCGAUACUCUUCAGGUUCAGAACGAGGAGGCAGAACACUGCAGUGCGAAUACCCAUUCCAUCUCUUGCUUCUGUCAUAGCUAGAAGAUGGAAGAUAGCCUGCAACAAGU